rnacentral:rRNA from 1 species
CCUACGGGUGGCAGCAGUGAGGAAUAUUGGUCAAUGGGCGCGAGCCUGAACCAGCCAAGUAGCGUGAAGGAUUACUGCCCUACGGGUUGUAAACUUCUUUUAUAAAGGCAUAAAGUGAGGCACGUGUGCCUUUUUGUACGUAAUUUAUGAAUAAGGAUAGGCUAACUCCGUGCCAGCAGCCGCGGUAAUACGGAGGAUCCGAGGGUUAUCCGGAUUUAUUUGGUUUAAAGGGAGAGUAGAUGGGUUGUUAAGUCAGUUGUGAAAGUUUGCGGCUCAACCGUAAAAUUGCAAUUGAUACUGGCAGUCUUGAGUACAGUAGAGGUAAGCGGAAUUCGUGGUGUAGCGGUGAAAUGCUUAGAUAUCACGAAGAACUCCGAUUGCGAAGGCAGCUUACUAAACUGCCACUGACAUUGAUGCUCGAAAGUGUGGGUAUCAAACAGGAUUAGAUACCCUUGUAGUC